AGUGAACGCUGGCGGUAGGCCUAACACAUGCAAGUCGAACGGCAGCACAGGAGAGCUUGCUCUCUGGGUGGCGAGUGGCGGACGGGUGAGGAAUACAUCGGAAUCUACUCUGUCGUGGGGGAUAACGUAGGGAAACUUACGCUAAUACCGCAUACGACCUACGGGUGAAAGCAGGGGACCUUCGGGCCUUGCGCGAUUGAAUGAGCCGAUGUCGGAUUAGCUAGUUGGCGGGGUAAAGGCCCACCAAGGCGACGAUCCGUAGCUGGUCUGAGAGGAUGAUCAGCCAAACUGGAACGGCGACACGGUCCAGACUCCUACGGGAGGCAGCAGUGGGGAAUAUUGGACAAUGGGCGCAAGCCUGAUCCAGCCAUGCCGCGUGGGUGAAGAAGGCCUUCGGGUUGUAAAGCCCUUUUGUUGGGAAAGAAAUCCAGCUGGCUAAUACCCGGUUGGGAUGACGGUACCCAAAGAAUAAGCACCGGCUAACUUCGUGCCAGCAGCCGCGGUAA
rnacentral:rRNA from 1 species